rnacentral:rRNA from 1 species
UACAUAGGGGGCAAGCGUUGUUCGGAAUUACUGGGCGUAAAGGGCGCGUAGGCGGCCUGUUAAGUCGAACGUGAAAUCCCCGGGCUCAACCCGGGAACUGCGUCCGAAACUGGCAGGCUCGAAUUCGGGAGAGGGAUGCGGAAUUCCAGGUGUAGCGGUGAAAUGCGUAGAUAUCUGGAGGAACAUCGGUGGCGAAGGCGGCAUCCUGGACCGAUAUUGACGCUGAGGCGCGAAAGCCAGGGGAGCAAACGGG